rnacentral:rRNA from 1 species
GACGAACGCUGGCGGCGUGCUUAACACAUGCAAGUCGAACGAAGUGGCGAACGGGUGAGUAACGUGUAAUCAACCUGCCCUUCAGAGGGGGACAACAGUUGGAAACGACUGCUAAUACCGCAUACUGUAGGAGGGGAUUGCGUCUGAUUAGCUCGUUGGCGGGGUAACGGCCCACCAAGGCGAGGAUCAGUAGCCGGUCUGAGAGGAUGGACGGCCACGAUGGGACUGGGACACGGCCCAGACUCCUACGGGAGGCAGCAGUGGGGAAUCUUCCGCAAGGGACGAAAGUCUGACGGAGCAACGCCGCGUGAGUGAUGACGGCCUUCGGGUUGUAAAGCUCUGUUAAUCGGGACGCGGUACCGGAAUAGAAAGCCACGGCUAACUACGUGCCAGCCGCCGCGGUAAUUC